rnacentral:rRNA from 1 species
UACGGGGGGGGCAAGCGUUGUUCGGAAUUACUGGGCGUAAAGGGCUUGUAGGUGGCCAACUAAGUCAGACGUGAAAUCCCUCGGCUUAACCGGGGAACUGCGUCUGAUACUGGAUGGCUAGAGGUUGGGAGAGGGAUGCGGAAUUCCAGGUGUAGCGGUGAAAUGCGCAGAUAUCAGGAGGAACACCGGUGGCGAAGGCGGAUCUCUGGGCCUUACCUGACGCUGAGGCGCGAAAGCUAGGGGAGCGAACAGG